GGGGUUGUGGCUCACUGGUAGAGCACGUGCCUAGCACGCGUAUGGUUCUGGGUUCAAUCCCCAAUGCCUCCA
rnacentral:tRNA from 1 species